AACAGGAUUAGAUACCCUGGUAGUCCACGCCCUAAACGAUGUCUACUAGUUGUCGGGUCUUAAUUGACCUGGUAACGCAGCUAACGCGUGAAGUAGACCGCCUGGGGAGUACGGUCGCAAGAUUAAAACUCAAAGGAAUUGACGGGGACCCGCACAAGCGGUGGAUGAUGUGGAUUAAUUCGAUGCAACGCGAAAAACCUUACCUACCCUUGACAUGGUCGGAAUCCUGGAGAGAUCUGGGAGUGCUCGAAAGAGAACCGGCGCACAGGUGCUGCAUGGCUGUCGUCAGCUCGUGUCGUGAGAUGUUGGGUUAAGUCCCGCAACGAGCGCAACCCUUGUCAUUAGUUGCUACGAAAGGGCACUCUAAUGAGACUGCCGGUGACAAACCGGAGGAAGGUGGGGAUGACGUCAAGUCCUCAUGGCCCUUAUGGGUAGGGCUUCACACGUCAUACAAUGGUACAUACAGAGGGCUGCCAACCCGCGAGGGGGAGCUAAUCCCAGAAAGUGUAUCGUAGUCCGGAUUGCAGUCUGCAACUCGACUGCAUGAAGUUGGAAUCGCUAGUAAUCGCGGAUCAGCAUGUCGCGGUGAAUACGUUCCCGGGUCUUGUACACACCGCCCGUCACACCAUGGGAGCGGGUUUUACCAGAAGUAGGUAGCCUAACCGCAAGGAGGGCGCUUACCACGGUAGGAUUCGUGACUGGGGUGAAGUCGUAACAAGGUAACC
rnacentral:rRNA from 1 species